UAGAAGUGUGGUACAUGACUUCUAAAGAAGCCAGACGUGGAACAGUUCUGGGAACACAGUCAGUACUGAUAAAACUCUUACUGAUGAAUUUACCUGUACCUGUGUUUCAGCCUUGUGAUCUGAAAAAUAGUUAGAACGUGACUCUAAGAAAAUAAAGAUGUGGAGUACACGGAGCCUCGCUUCAGAUUCUCUGGACUAAAGAUUUAACACUCAACUAGAGACCAAAGAUCCCAUCAAUCACUACACAUUUUAGACUUCUAAUUGGUAAGAAAUAUUUUGGAUCUUCAAAAUAGAGACAUCUGGCAGUCACCAGCUGAACAAAAUGGUCAAAUUUUGCACUACCAUCAUCAGACAACCUGACAUAUGUGCCUCCUGAGAUGAUAUUCCACAGGAUGUGAGCAUAUGCGGUGGAAACAUUGUGUUAUUCCAUCCUCAGAAGAAAAGGGACAGUAUUAUACUUUAUCUCUUGCUAGUACA